UUAGUACUCCCUUCGUCCGGAAAUACUUGUCCUAGAGAUGAAUGUAUCUAGACUUAUUUUAGUUAUAGAUACAUCCAUUAUAUCCAUUUCUAAGACAAAUAUUUUCGGACGGAGGGACUAUUAA
rnacentral:pre_miRNA from 1 species